rnacentral:ribozyme from 1 species
AUAUGAACCCACUGCAUUUCUCAUGUUCGGAACGGCUCAGGGAACAGAAGACUGAUCAGAGUGUGGGGAGAAGAGACAAAAAAAAGGGGAAGCAACGUUUUUUUCCAUUUCUUAAUUUUAGGAAAAGAAGGACGGAGGGGCGCAUAUGUCCACCACGAGCACAUGCAGGUGUACAACGUUUGAACUUUGAACAGUGUGAUUCUUUGUUUGAUUCAGAUGAACUCACUGGUUGGAAACCCGUCCUCCCAUCUCCUGGUUUUGGCGAUCCCCUGACCCAGUGCGCUUUCUAAC